AGGUUUGAUUUAGAGCUGGUGUAGAAAUAAAUGACACGAGACAAGUGAAAGUUUUGCAUGAUUGUGUGAAGAUAAUCAUUUUUAUUCGAAGUAUGAAGAGUUCAGUAUUGACCUUGAAAAAAGUGGUUUGACAAAACAAUCCCAAGUCAAGGCCAAUUUACCAUCUUUUUUCGGAGUUUUCAUCCAGAUUAUAUGGGCUUCAUCAGAGGGCAGAGUUUGCUCAGUUGUCACGGAGACGGACUUUUUGACCCAUCACCUGACCCACUCACCUGUCACCUGCCAGCAGCUGCUCCUUAUUCACAAUCAGCCUCGAAAACCCCACAGGGAGGACAUGGAGAGUAGCUAUGAAGGACAGGAAGAUGGAGAGGAGGUGGGACCUGUGAAAAAUGAGAAAAAUGAAAAAAUAACAGGAACGGGUGAAAGGAGAAAAGGGUAGGAGGAAGAAGAGGAAGACGGGACGUGGAGAAUGAAAGAGGGAAAUCCAGCAGCGGAGGAGGAGGGAAAGACACAGGAAGAGAACGUUGAGGAGAAAAAAAUGAAGAGAAAACAGGGGAAAGGGGAAACAAGAGCAUAAAGAAGAGGGAAGAGCAAACGAGCUUCACAAACUCCAACUGUUUCCAAUGUCUGGUCUGAAAAAUACGGACCCGAACAGAACACGGCAACAUUCUCAGCGAAGGCAGCAGCCUGGUCCAGACUAAGAUAUCUCAGCAACUACUGGAUGGUUUCAAGUUCCCCAGAGGAUAAACUUGAAUGUCUUUGUUGAUCCUCUGACCUUUCCUCUAGCGCCACCAGCAGGUCGACUCCUUUGCUUCACAGUUAGGUAAGUCGGACUGACUGCCGGUUGUCUGGGACCUCAGUCGGCCACGCUCGGCAUCCUUUUGGCCUGGAGCCUUACCCGGGGAAAUCUGCACUUUUCCAAACCCCUGCAGGACUCUGACAGUGGGGGCUGCUGGCGGAGACUUCUGAGAGUAUCCUCCCAGUUCAACAAGCUCCGAGCGCAUGACCACAUCAGUGACAUCGGCCAGUGAGAUCAACCAAAAAAGCGAGGUCUGCCAGCCACACAGGGUGGCGCAGUUCAACGAGGCCGUGACCUUCUUUCUUUCAAAAAAUCUUCCAUUUCAUAUCUCAGAGACUGAAGCGCUCCAGCACUGUCCCCCGAUAAGGCCAGGGCACGUGGCGGCGGUAGAUUACAUCCGAUACUUUGGUUUACGGCCAAACAGCUGCAAAUCUAACGAUUCCCAGCAGCCUCAAUUGUUCUUUGUGUCUAGUGCUAAUUAGCAUGUCUCAGCAGUCUAAAUCAGAUAUUGAUUCGACGUAGCUUUACUGCACCUUGUAUUUAGUUAGCUGAGUGAAUUGAUUGCUUAAAAACUAUUCAUGGCAUUAUUUUCGAAAACAUCUUCACUUUACUUUUCUUGCCUAAAACUUUUGCACGGUAGCGUGUGUAUAUAAAAAAACAAACAAACAAACAAACUGCUCCUUUUCGAUCAUUGAAUGUGUAUUAAUUUCUUACAGAUUAUACUUUGUGUGGAGUCCUUCAUGUUGGACGUGCACUGAAGUGAUUAAAGUUGAAUAAAAUAAUGAAAAAAAUAAAGAACGAAUGCAAACUUUACACACGUGUGA